GCCGAGCUCAGUAGCGAGAGCUUGUAACCCAAGUGGGGGCAUUAAGGUGGUGAGAAUGCUUAGAGAAGCCUUCUAGGCUUGGGCCUAUGGUGUUCCUUUGCUGGUCUGCCCGUCCCAAGUUGGUAGUGGUUAGUGGGGGCCUUGGUGAAAGCUUGGGCCUCUGUAAACCUGAAGUGGCAGGAAUGGCGUGAGGCUGCCCGCUUCCAACGGUGGGAGGAUAACAGGCCGCUGCAUCAUGAGCUCAAUUCAGGCCUAGAGCCUCUCUAUAGCAGACCACCACUUUU
rnacentral:SRP_RNA from 2 species